GCGAGCCACGCAGACAGAGCUUCCAGAAGAAGCGAAAGAUGGCGGUAAGUAGGUCUAUGGAACACUGUGUUACUUUAGUUUUAGGAUACAUUUACAAAUAUAUUUGCAACGGUAUACCUUACAGACUGAUUAGGCGAUGCACUGAUAAAUUGCAUAUUGUUUAUGGUUAGAGAGAGCGUAGGUAAUGUUCUUAUUUUCUCAUAUGUAUUAUAGCGGUUCCUUUGUCGAAUGAACUUGAGUUCUCACCGAAAGUUUCCUUUUGGUGUUAUCCACAUAAUUCUGAUAUUUGUAGCGUUUGUUUUUAAAUCAGCAUCCUUUCCGGUAAUUUUUCAACACCAAUUGUUGCUUAGUUUAUUCAAGCUAUAAUCGGCUAGUUUGACCUUUUUUACCCAUGGAAUUACCCAGUUACAGGGGAACUUGUCGUAGAUUUUGCAUUUUAAAUCAGAACUCUUUAUGGGAAAUCAGAUAUGUUUAUUUCUUAACAAUGUCCUUGUCAAUUGAUUUGUUCCUAUUAGAAAAGCUUAUAGGCCUAUCAUAACAGUUCUUUUUAGUUUCGUGCACGGUAAUUACCGACAUAUUACUGAUGCUUAUUUUAGAUAACGGCGUGUGUCAGCCAAAUUUACACAUCCCUGUUAAAUAGGCAACAGAAGAAACAUAUUAGUUUAGUUGUAACAAAUUAUUUUAACAGUGCCAUUACGGUUGUAACUGUAAUACAGUUUUUUCCCCGAAGGGGUAGGGUGGGGUGGUAGUCAAACGUUUUGCUUUUAAUGUCAUAUAGUGAAACGUUAAAAUGUUGCUGUUACAGUAUCUAGUUCAAUAGGCCGAGUAAGACUGUGAACAAUAGAUUACAUCUCGGUAAGAAGGUUAUGUAAUCAAUACACAUCUCUUCGAGUGUUCUAAGGUCAAAUUGUUUAAUUCAGUAAUGUCAUAGACAUUUAUUUUCUUUAAAAUAGGCUUCCUUAAAAAAAUGUAAAUCAGUAACUGUCUGAUACACUCAAACAUCCUAGUUUAACAGAGCUUUUUGUGUCCUGUGUCUUGAACUGUUUAAUGUUGCCUCGAGGUAGCAAUAAGACAUAAUAAUCCUUUGUUACUGUAGCGAGUACUCAACACAAGGGGGCGAUAUUACUGCCUGGUCCAGGAGGAGGAGAGCGAAGUAGAAACGCUGCUUCUUUCCUUCCGUUUUUUCUUUUAUUCUCUGUCCCUUCAGUUGUGGGAUUCCUCUUAUACUGCUAAGCUACUAUACUUAGACUAGAUUUGAGCUACAUUUUGUUGAUCUGUUGUAACGUUUAUAGCUCUUCAUAAGCAUUCCGUUUGCUUAAUAAUAAUAAUAAUAAUAAUAAUAAUAAUACAAUGAUGUCAGUGAAAUACAAUAAUCAGUCCUAUCAAAACUACAGGCAUUUAAGCCUAGUUGAAUUAAAAUCAUAACAACCAAGUGUCUGUGGUCUCAACAUUCACUUCUGCCUCCUCUUUCUUCUUCUGUGGGGGUGAAUGCAAUGUAGCAGCACCCAGCCCUCAUACGCUUCAUGUGGAAAGACUGGAGGUGACGCCCUGCCCGCCCAGGGGGAUCGUGAUUGUGAUGGUGGUCAGUGGCCGUCCACACCAAAGGGUGGGCCUGAGCGGAAGCCCCUGUCAGGACCAGGAUGUCCUGAGUUUAGGGCAGAGUAGUUUAGAGGAGCAUGCCAUACUCCCCUCUCUGCCCUGUAACCCCUGAUGGCAUGAACAUAAUGCCAUGCCAGGCCAAGAUGAUGUAACAGGAACACAGCAGCAUCAGUAUGGUAGUGACAGCCUGUUCCAGCCUCAUGUCAGUCUGAGAUGGAGGAAAUUAUGAUCGCUGUGUUUACACUAAGCAAACACACAACCGAUGAGUGGAACUUCCCACUAUGUCUUCAGCUCGGAGGCAUCAAGACUUACUUUGUUCUCUGAAGAAAUGACUGAUAAAAGAGGACAACGCCUGGUGUCAGAGAUCAGCACAUCCUCUUCACAAGCGUCAAUCUGAGCCAGAUCGGCAAGAUCUAUGGGCCAUUGCAGAAGACAGCCUUCACUUAUACAGACACUGAUCAGCACAUCCUCUUCACUUCACUACAGAUGUGCACCAUAACCCUAACCCAUUGCAGAAGACAGCCUUCACUUAUACAGACACUGACUCACUACAGAUGUGCACCACAGGCAUACGUGGACAAAACACAACAUUGAGCUCAUUUUAAAUGACCAUCUUGGACAGAAUUGCCUUCAGUUUGAGAAAUUAAAUCAAUUACUAUUAAUGAUAGAAUCAAAGAAUCUCUCAAGCCGGUACAUUCCGUGUCUUUCACCUCUCCUAUGGCUGUCAUGUUGUUGUGAGGAGGAGUUGCUUGACAUAUUGUUGCUCCUCAGUGAGUCCUUUCCCUGUGUUAUGGCAAACUGUCCUCUGGUGGUUUGAAAUAAAUCAUCUACUUCACCCGA